AGAGAAGCUUACACCUGUUGUGAAAGCCGCACAAAACACACCUGAUAGGUCGUCCGCCGGAGCGAGAUGACAUCUAAUUCACGGGUACUCCAACAGAUUUAGUCCACCUGAUUCGCAAGGCAGCGGUCAACACCCAUCAACAUUUGUCAAAACGGACGGAAACGGCUUGUGAUCUUCGCCGGUCGCUCUAUUAUAUCUACUUCGGUACCAUCCAAACAGUCUGACGAUGGGUAAAACUGCAGACAACGCAUACGACGAUGACAACGGAGGUGAAAAUGGUGCAGCUAGAAUUAUGGACGCAAUUGACCUGGUGGUGGAACCGCUGAGUGGAAGCGGUCGAAUGGAAGGACAUAUAUGCCUAAGUGAUCCUAAAGAUUGAUUAUGUAAAAAGGAUGGCACUGUCCUUUCGCGUAAGAGUAGAUAGAUCAAUAUGGGAUUUGCUGCACUUAUCUGUGGCUGCACGAAGCUUGAACUUCGGAGGAGGGCUGCUAUGCACUGAACGAAACAUCUUUGGAGGCAGAGAAUGACGUAGUGGCAGUGGUCACUGGAUGUGUCUUGGUACUGCUGAUCAGAUAUGGAUGCACCGAAAAGUAACGAUUAUCGUGCGCAAGGUAAUAGCUACCGAGAAAGAGUGCGAAAUAUUCGCGACAUUGCCCGAGGCCGAGAGAAAUCUAAACGAUAUAGAUUCCUGAUUCACACGGAGGAUCAAUUACAAUUUCGAUAAUUACAAUGAUCAUUAUCAUCUAUAUGAUCACAAGCGUCGUCGAGACGAGAAUGGGCUUCCAUAAACUUCAAUUUCCGCCAAUACAGCCACCGGAAAUCUGCUACUCUACCUAUAAGGCAUAGAUCCUGCUUUUCCCUGUCCAACAGUAACCAGUAGCUCCGAUAUGGUGUUCCAGUCAGCAAGUUUUAAAAUCAUGGAUUAUGUACUGCAUCUUU